rnacentral:rRNA from 1 species
CCUACGGGAGGCAGCAGUAGGGAAUCUUCCACAAUGGGCGAAAGCCUGAUGGAGCAACGCCGCGUGGGUGAAGAAGGUCUUCGGAUCGUAAAACCCUGUUGUUAGAGAAGAAAGUGCGUGAGAGUAACUGUUCACGUUUCGACGGUAUCUAACCAGAAAGCCACGGCUAACUACGUGCCAGCAGCCGCGGUAAUACGUAGGUGGCAAGCGUUAUCCGGUUUUAUGGGGCGGAAAGGGAACGCAGGCGUUCUUUUAAGUCUGAUGUGAAAGCCUUCGGCUUAACCGGAGUAGUGCAUUGGAAACUGGGAGACUUGAGUGCAGAAGAGGAGGGUGGAACUCGAGGUGUAGCGGUGAAAUGCGUAGAUAUAUGGAAGAACACCAGUGGCGAAGGCGGCUCUCUGGUCUGUAACUGACGCUGAGGUUCGAAAGCGUGGGUAGCAAACAGGAUUAGAUACCCGAGUAGUC